GAUGAAGAACGUAGCGAAAUGCGAUAAGUAAUGUGAAUUGCAGAAUUCAGUGAAUCAUCGAAUCUUUGAACGCACAUUGCGCCCGCCAGUAUUCUGGCGAGCAUGCCUGUUCGAGCGUUAUUUCAACCAUCAAGCCCCAGGCUUGUGUUGGAGCCCUGCGGCUGCCGCAGCCUCCCAAAACCAGUGGCGGGCUCGCUAUCACACCGAGUGCAGUAGUUUACUCUUCGCUCAGGGCGUGUGGCGGGUGCUAGCCGUGAAACCCCCAACUUCUCAAGGUUGACCUCGGAUCAGGUAGGAAUACCCGCUGAACUUAAGCAUAUCAAUAAGCGGAGGA
rnacentral:misc_RNA from 1 species